CCACUUAUUGACCAUGACUGUUACAUAUUUGAAUAGCGUAGAUCAUUUUGAAUAAUAAUAGUAAUAAUGAAGUAAUAAUAUAGCAUAGAAUAUUCUAGAAGAGAAACGUUAGUGUAUUUGAAUGCGCACCGAAGACUGCAAGGCCAAACACCCCCAUGUAACGGGGUCUACAACGAAGUACAUACCGAUUAAUUCCAAAAAUGCUAAGUUCUGAUGAGACUAGUUUAGCUGCAUGGCUUGCGACCAUCCUGAUGACAAGAAGUAACAAAUGGUGUUUUGUGACAACUGACUGCAAGAACUUUAAUUGUGUUGGAUCACAACAGAUGUAAAGAACGUUCUUGAGGCUGUCAGAAGUACAUUGAAAGCGGAAGGAAGAACACCUACAUCUGCAACGCUACAAGAAGGUCUGAAAGAGUUCCAAGCGAAAAAAGCGAAGGAGAAGCAAAUGGAGAAGUAGAAGAUUAUGCACCGGUAGCGUCAAGAGGAGAAGAUACAAUAGGAACUUUUCAAAAUGUGCAAGCAAAUGGCACAAAAGAAGCGAACAAUGAAUCUUAAAUUUAAAAAAGCGCAAAUGGAAAAUAAUGAUCACCCAUUAACCCUAGUCGUGAAUUAUGACCCAGACUGGAAGGCUGAGCGUAUUCUAAGCCAGCGUAGUACUUCCAUACAUUUAUUUGUUCAACAUCACAUUUGAGACGAGACAUAAUCAACAGUAGUACGCCACAAUACUCGGUUUGUGGCUGCCGGUCUCCAUCCUUGGUCGCGCCCAAUGCUCACCAGAUCCUGGUCCUGGUCCGCUCAUCAUGCUCUCUGCGCUUUGCAGGGUUGUUGUCCGGCUUUCUUGCGUCUUGUAUCCUUCCGGCUUUGGCCACUUUCUGGAUGCUGAGUUCGCCGUAAAGUGCAGCGAGCUCGUGGUUCAUCCUUCUCCGCCACACAUCGCCGAAGAUCGUCCUUAGCACGCGUUGCUCGAAAACUCCGAGUGCUUGCAGGGCCUCCUCGAGCGUGGUCCAUGUCUCGUGUCCCUAGAGGAGCACCGGUCUUAUUAGCGUUUUUACAUGGUGCAUUUGGUGCGUGGGUGAAUCUUUUCAGAUCGCAGCUUCUUCUGGAGCCCGUAGUAGGUCCGACUUCCGCUGAUGAGGCGCCUCCGAAUGACACGACUCACGUUGUUGUCAGCCGUCAGUAAGGAUCCGAGGGAGACGAAUUUCUCCACCACCUCGAAAAUAUCUCCGUCUAUCGUAACAUUACUGCGCAGACGGAUCCGGUCGUGUUCAGUUCCGCUUACCAGCAUGUACUUUGUUUUUAAGGCAUUCAUCACCAGUCGAACCUUUGUUGCUUCGCGUUUCAGGCGGUUGUACAGCUCUGUCAGCGUUUCAAAUGUUCUAGCGAUAAUGCCCAUGUCGUCCGCAAAGCACACAAAUUGACCGGAUUUUGUAAAAAUCGUUCUCCUGCUGUUGAACCCGGCUCGUCGCAUAACAUCUUCCAAAGCGAUGUUGAAGAGUAGUCAUGAGAGUCCAUCACCUUGUAUCAGUCCCCGGCGAGAUUCGAAUGAACUGGAUAGUUCACCCGAACCCCUUACGCAGUUUUGCACACCGUCCAUCGUUGCUUUAAUCAGUCUAAGUAGUCAGCUUUCCGGGAAAGCCGUUUUCGUCCAUGAUUCUCCAUUGCUCUGCGCGGUCGAUACUGUCGUAUGCCUCUUUGAAGUCGAUGAACCGGUGAUGCGUUGGGACCUGGUAUUCACGGCAUUUCUGGAGGAUUUGCCGUAGGGUGAAGAUCUGGUCCGUAGUCGACCGGCCGUCGAUGAAGCCGGCUUGCUAACUGCCUACGAACUCAUUCGUUUUAGGUGACAGACGACGGACGAUUAGCUGGGAUAGCACUUUGUAGGCAACAUUCAAAAAAGUGAUGGCUGAAAUUCUCACAUUCCAAAUGGUCGUCUUUCUUGUGAAUGAGGCAGAUUACUCCUUCCUUCCACUCCUCCGGUAGCUGUUCGGUUUCCCAGAUGAGCCGAUGCAGAGCGGUGGCCAACUUUUCUGGGCCCAUUUUGAUGAGUUCAGCUGCGAUACCAUCCUUACCAGCUGCUUUGUUGGUUUUGAGCUGGUGAAUGGCAUCCUUAACUUCCCUCAGCGUGGGUGUUGGUUCAUCUCCGUUGCCGUGGUAGUUAGCUGGUUAUCCAGCGUAGUACACGGCAGCUAAUGCAUGGAGCUUCAACCUUCAAGGUAAUGCGAAUGUGAAUGAAAGAGAAGAUCAAGCAGUUGAAGCUGAAGCGGAAUACGCAAGCGGUCGUUGAAGAAAAGGAGCUGGAAGAAGCUGUCGGAGGCGACAUAGUGGACAGCUCGAAAAACUGAUCAAAGAAGUUGAUGGAAUCGGAGCAUGCGAAACCGGAGAUAGAAAUCGAUUACUUAAAGUCGAGGAAUGAAAAGCCUGGAAAAGCAAUGCAACGGCAGGGAACAUCAACGAUCGGAGUGAGCCUAUCACAAGCAUUCAAUUCCAAAUCCAAAAGAGCCUUGGAAGCUUGGACCAAAGUGUGUUCAUCGAGAAUACCGGAGGCGGAGACUUUUCUGAUCGGGGGCAACGACCAGGGGUUUCCAAACCCGAGAAGGUAAACCUUUAAUCAAGAAAGUAAAGAAAGUGGUGGAAGUUAUUGAAUGGGAUAGAAUUUGUAGUGUACUCUCGUUUCUUGUCCGAAUACCCCGUAACGUGGGUAGAUCACCUUAGAAUGGUGCGUUGCGGUGUAAGAUUUACCAAAUCAAAUUUUGAUCUUGAUAUUUACCGUAUUUUUUAAUAUUCCAAGAUCAAAGUUUGACGCUCUUUUCCUUGUGUUUUGUAGUAUUUGUGUUUCAAUGUACUGCUACUUAACAUUUUAUUUCAGCAGGAUUCAGGUAAAUGUAUCGUACGAUAUAAAUAAAAUUUAAAAAAAAUGUUACCGUGGCGAGCGUAUCACUAAUAUGUAUCUUAUUUGACGUACGAUGUUAAUAUUAUUUUAUAUUUCAGAUUAUCAACCAAAAAAUCUAGUAAUUCAACCAAAUUCCAACAAGAUGACGAGGAAACCAGGAUGAAUUGGGUAGACAACUGAUUCGAAGCAGUCUAACAAUGGUGUGCCUGAACGUUACCCAAGCGUAUCCUUUGGAGUUUACCCUUCCACUAACAACACCCAAAUUCCCGUGACACCUAGGCCUGAGAGAUCGUAGAGUUGUCUACAUUUUUCAUAGGUGUCCAAAACUAACCAUCCUUUCCCAUUCCUCAGCAGUCGCAAGGACGUGGUCAGGACAGUGCUCGACCAUUGGAGGAUUGCGUCAGUCUUGUCUAAGAGUCAGAGAUUAGUCCCAAAUCUUUGUGCUUUGGUUCAGACGGGAAGGAGGCAACCCUCAUAACAGUGGUCUAGGACUGUACCACCUACGAAUUUGUGCGACUCGCUUAAUGCUAAUGCUACUCUCGUUUCUUGUCCGAAUUCCUCGUGCAUUAAAAAAUGGGAUAGCGCGAAUUCUGAAGAAGAAGAAGAAGAAGAAGAAGAAGAAGAAGAAGAAGAAGAAAGAAGACGAGUCCACUGGAAAGGCUGACGAAGAAGAAAAGAUUCUCUGCGACGAAGAGGAGAACUCCACAGAGAAGGAAGAAAGUUCAGAGAGAUCCGAAAAAGCGUAGAAGCAAGAUAAAUCUCGUUGGAAAAAUAAAAACGGCAAUGAUAGAUCAAUCGGCAACGAGAACCAACGAAGGCUCAGAUUUCCGUGCGGCCUUUUUUGUCCAGAAAAUUGUUUAAGUUUACUGGUACGUUAUAAGAAUGGCCGAUGCUCAUCAGCACUUCAACGAGACUUCAACGAAGGCAUGCGGUUUAUCCGACGUGGAGAAUUUGGCACGGCUACUGAAGAUUUCUAUCGAACACCGUCCCAAAAGUCAGGAAGACACUGUGCAUGCUGUGCGGCAGACCAGAGUGACUUCACAUCAUGCUGUUGAAGCAGGUUCGCAACGCAGCGCCACUAAAAGUGGAUCGGCUGGCGAGUUAUAUUAGCUUUGGAGUGGUAGGUCAUCAGCUCGUGAUUUUUGAGCAGCAACCACGCUAACUAUGCACUUGAUCACCCCAGCUGAUCCAUGAGCUGUCAGAGAAGCUGCCGACUGGCACCGCGCUGGAACAGGUACGGUAUCGCAGGAAGAGCUUUCUAUGAUAGCGGAGGAGGAGCUUCGAAUUUGCGGCAGAGUGGAUCACUGGAUACGUAACUGCAAGAACUUUCGGUGGGUCUAGCUUGGAGAGUGGUGGGAAGGAAGCGUUGCGCAAGUGCUAAGCUAAGCUUCCGUUGCAACGUCGAAAGUUGAAGGAAAGCAACAACUCGUUGCUCCUUUUCGUCGGACCAAGCACAGGGUUGAGCUGCAACGUUCACACCACGCAGUCAAAGCCAUUCAUGAUUUUCCGAAUUAUGCCCAUCAAUUUGCACUGCAACAAGUAUUCGGUGAACACUAUCGCAUUUCUGGAUGAAAGAUCGUCGUAUACGCUGGCCGAAAGAGCUCUACCCGGGUAGAGGUAAAAUACUGACGAUCAAAACAUGAUAUUGGUUUGAUUGAUAUAAGAGAUAAAAGAUAUGAAAAUAAUAUUUGAAAAAUGUUCCUGGAACAUCUGAACAAUAUCAAAAUUUGAUAUUUCAAGAUCAUACGAAUAGCUCGCUGCUAUUGGUUAGAUCUUACAAAAUCUAAAUAUGAUUUGAUGAUGCUGUUCCAGGAGUAAAUUUUUGAUUUUAUUUUUAGAUCUUUUAUCUCUUAUGUCAAUCAAACCCAUAUCACUUUUUUAUCUUCAUAUCAAUAUAUGCUAUUAUUGAGCUCUUUUCCUCUACUCGGGUAGUGAAUCGGCUAGGGGUUGGAGGCGUGGACUGUCGGAGGUACCCGGAUCGAGACAGAUUCACAGCGUGCAAGUCUUUUCAUUUCAGCAACAGGCUCCACUCAAAGUUUCCAAAAAAAAGUUCGCAAAAUGUAAAAGGCUUGAAGCUUUCGCAGUUCACAGUAGCUAUUGCGAACGUGGUGAGGAAAUACGCGCAUCUACAAGCAGUGUUGGUAAAAACUCAAAUUCUCAAAUCUCAUGGUUGAGUUGAUUCACCCGCGAUUCUUGACCCGCCAAACUCACCGCCGAAAAAAUCAUGCAUGAGUUGACUCGUGAUUUUACUCAUUCCUUAAUUUCUUGGUAGUCUUAUUAUUUAUAACGAAGUUUUUAGGAUUGUAUGACAGAACAAGAUCAAACCUUGCAUACAACAACAAAGAUUGUCGUUUAAAUUUGUAACGACCAAUAAUAAGCUCCAAAAUCUAUCACCGUUAAUUAAAAUUAACAGUGUAUAAAAAGCUGGUACAUAAGACCCUUUCAGUGACCGACACGCCAUCUCGCAGAAUGAGUUGGGACAUCUGAUGCUUUUUCGAUAAAGUUUAAUUUCAAAUGUCUCCGAAAAUACUCGUGAGCACCUCCACGGAUCUCAUUUAUUAGAUCGCAAUGCAGAUCAAGUGCCUUUUUAAAUGUAAUCCGCUGGUAGUAUUUUCAAUCCGCUUUGCUGCGAUCUUUCUCCAUCAUCAAAGAAUUGGCCAAAAUGAGAUCGCUUUAUCUGUUUAGCGGAAGGCAGAAUGAGAUGGGGUGGCCUUAAAUUGCGUUCGUAUCAAAAUAGAUACGAAAUUUUGUAGAGUUGAUAAAAGCGAUUUUCCUGUUAGGGGGCUAUUAUUCUCGUGCGAUUCGUCAACUUUUAUAGCUCGGUGUUUCAAAUUAGAACCAAAAAGUUAUAUUAAAAAAGUGACCUAUUAAGUUGAACAAACAAUUAUUCCAAGUAUAAUACCGUUUAAUUUGUUGCAAAUAGUGCAGUUUUUCCAGAAAUUAGACCCUAGAAGAAAAAUUUGGGUUUUAAGAAAAAAUCACCUUGACAGGUGAGAAUAGACAUCCCUGUGAUUAGAAGGUAAGAAGAUACUUUGUGCGAUAAUUUGUGACAAAUUUAGUAUUUCAUUGAAUCGCUUGACCAGGUGAAUCCCGCUGGUCAUCGCGGGUGUUUGUGUGGGGUGAAUUUUCAACUCGACGGAAUUCGAUCAGCACGUGUUGAAUUUCUCCCAUCUGGUCGACCCACCCUAGUGCCUCCUUGCACACCGUGCCAUAAAGCUUCCUUGCAUCGCCAAGCUACGCAACACGACCCGCAUCAUAGAAGCUCCUCCGUUUCGUCGCUCGGCGGUUGUCAAUUCAUCGCACGACGCAUAACGCACGAAUUCCUAAAGCUCCGUGCCCGCCAUCUGUCGACGAGUGGCUGAAUCCGCAAACAUCGCCGACGGAGUGGGCGAUUAUUUCCAGUAUCGCCGUUUGCGUGUGGUCGUCGGUAGCUCAACGUCAAUACGCCACCUGCAAGUGAAGCGUAUGUGCGGCUCGACAAUUCGCAUGCGCAUGAAGCCUAGACCACGCGAGUAGGAGUAAUCUGCGUGGGAGUUUUUCAAGGAUUCCGGAAUUCCGACGGAGCAGGACACGAUCACCGGUCAACGAGCAGGUUGGGAACCUGUACCAGGUCAGAUCUUUUUGUAUAUUUGUAUAUAGUUUUCUUUUUUUAUUAGCAAUUAAGAUACAAGAUUAGGAGUAAGAGUUGAAAAACCAAUUGGUGACGUCACCUUCAGAUAAAUAGGCCUCUGUAAUGAAUUUGAAUUUCAAUAAACAGGACUUGAAAACCAAUAGGCCGACACCACAGUGAAGGUUGACGGAUAUACGAUUUGAUUUACAGGAAAUACUUAAUGAAAAUGUCUCAUUGAGCCUUCUGUUGAUAAUUUUGAAUUGGCCUUUUGGCACUUAUAUAGAUUUUUUUUGAAUUGGAUUAGUUUAGAUUGGUAUUCUUUGAGUCUGCUUUGUGGUUUGCUAGGUGUAGUUGCGUGUUUGAGGGAUAAAUUCAACCUGCCCUAGAAAAGAGCCUCUGCCGGGCCAUUAACAGCCUCAGCAGUCUCACCUUCGGUGAGUGGCGCAUAAGCUGCUGUGGUCACGUACCUGGAGCAUUCGUUACAAAUUGAUUUGGAUUCGUUUUACAAGCAAAUGAGAUUUAGGCGCUUGACUCGUGAGAGCGAGAUUUUGCAUGAAAAUCUCGCGCGUGAGAAAAUGAUUCAGAAUCGCGCACGAGUUUGCUCACGCAGGAGCGGUUCAUGAGUGAGCUUUGAGUGUGAGUUUACCAACACUGUCUACAAGGCUAACCGUUCACCGACGUCCAGCAUUUACCUUUACGCGUCGUUCAAAUCACGAAUUGGUCGACUGAAGGGUAGCACACCAGUGAGGUCUAGUCUAGGUUGUCCCGUAUACAGACCAACUAGACCGGGAAACGUAAACAUUGAAAUGAUCGUGAGCUACCGGUUCAAAACAGUUCUAUAUUUUCCCGUCUCCUACGUUGAUUGGGGACAAACAUUACCUUCCCAGUAAAAAAAAACACUCCAAGCAAACCUACUAAGAAAAUCGAGCUGAUAAGUAGCUAUAAACGACAUAAACGUUCAAGACCCCAGGAUGAUUUCCUUCGCGGAGCGUGCUACCAACUGUUAGCCAAGUACUGCCAACAGGUGGAUCCAAGUUAAAACCAAACAUCGUACCUACUUUCACAAUGCUUAGUCCUUUCCUCUUUCUCUAUCUCUCGGGUGUAUCAGUAUCAAUUAGGAUGUUGGCUCAACUUUGCCACGUUAUACUUUUUCCUUACGACUUUCUCCUCUUUUAAUGCCAAGUGAAUACGCGGUGCGGUGGUACUCAGCGGAACUGGUAAUGGCACCUUACGAGAAAUUCUUUUGAAGUGCACUUGAAAGUUACUCUGUUGUUGCGUUACAAUGUAGCUCGUCUCGGCGUCUUUUCCUACUGCCUGUCUUACAACAUCAACAGGCAGACUUUAGCAAAAAAAAAAAGCUGUGGAUCCUUUCGAGCUGAUUAUGUUUAUUUGACGGAACGAGUGGUUGCAAUGCGUUGAAGCUGGAAUAAGUAUGAAGCAUGAGGGUACUAAUAUGAAGAGGCGUUGGUAGAAAAACUCAUGACUGCAAAUGGAAACACAAGUACAUAAGAAUAAUCUAUAAUGCUUGAAAUUUCAAAGUAUAGCUGAUUUAACGCAACAACGUAAUUUUACAGUACUUUACAGGGCUGUUUGCAUACAGUCAAGGGAUAUAAAUUGGAUCAGAAAUCGUAUAAUUUAAAAUAUACGGACACCGUCUUCAGCCAGAGGCUGUACAGACUGAACCUAAUACUAGAUAACGGACACGACACACAUUACGAGCUCCAGUAUACACGAGGAAGAAACAUUUCUUACGAAAAGUUUCCUCACUUAGAAUCGAGCCCUCACAAAUGGCAUGGUACCGUCAUACGCUUGGUGACGCUAAUUGCACGACCACGAGGCUCCAAUAACGAUCAGUUUUAAACAAUGUUUUUUUUUAGAAAUUUAUCUACGUUUCUCAAACUCCACAUUCUUUACUAACGAAGUGCAUUACUAUGCAGACUAAUUAAUAAUUUUAAAUUAAAUUGCAUUUCUUUUUUCCGAUUUUUUUUCAAAACUAUUGAAUUAUUACCAAAGCAAUUGAUUUAAACCAACAAAAGGUCUGAACAUUGAGUUCAUUAACUUCGAAAUACGAUUGAAUAUGUAAGACUUUGAAUACCUAGCCACAAAUUUAAUCCCAGCCGCUUGCAUGGCUGAAUCGUCAAGACAAGAAUAUUUCUCACUGUAGCUACCCGGGACAAAUCUUCAAGUCUCCUGGCAGGAUCCGUAGCAAUAAUUUUUCACGCUAAUCAGAUAACGUUAAUUAGAGUUCAACUGUGUAACCAAGUUCAGCGAAGCAUUAUUUGGCAGGUUGGCAAAUGAUUGCGGCAAGCUGUUGGCACGGGGAUUAGUGCAUAAUUAGGGUGGAGAGGCUUAAACGAUUACAGCCAAUCAAAUCAGCUCGAUAUAAUUGGCAAAGCAUAUGCCGGCAAGGCGAAUGAGCAUACCUCACUAUCUUAAGGAAGCAUGAAUUCAAAUAUAGUGCACUUUUGGUUAAAGAUGACGUACUCCGUUCACCUAACAGAAGAGAUUUCAAUUAAGCUCGUCUGCUCAACGAUGGAAUAAUUAUGGACAAAUAUAAUUCGCGUUAAUCCUCCACCUUGGAUGGCCUUUCAGUGCAUAAACUGGAUUUCUCACAAUUAGGUAGCUGUGGGAGCAUUUCUUUUAAUGACUCGUGUCGGAAUUAUCGUCUUACAUGAAUCAUUCAUGUUGUACGGAAACCCACCCACAUAACCGGCUGAAGCUCGUUUCGCGAGUACAAACCAUAUCGUUCCCCGUUGCUCAAUCAAGGUUUUAUAUCCGUGUAAAUUGUGUACUUAGAUACGGUCGGGAACAAGUCCCACCCGACAACUUCAUCCUUGUGCGAGCGUGUUGCAGCAAGGCACCUUACCACACGUACCUACCAACAAUACAACGCAGCAAGGCGGCCGCCCGGUGUUACCUACAACCUUCUCGAUUAAAGAAGUGGGGUCGGGAGGAGCUGCUUUCUACCGAUUGAGAUACAGGACGUGUACUGUUCAAGAAGAGCGCUCCGCAUCGGCUUCUGGUAUGAUGUUUCUUUUACUGCCGGCAGCACUUGUUACUUCUGCAGGGGUGCAAUCAGGAUUGCAGCGGAAAAGUGUGUUUUAAAGUACGAAAUACGACAAAACGCGAUUCAACCGAAUCGGAUUGAGUUAUUCUUCCAGGAGCCGUGAACAUUAUGUUUCUUAUGGAAGGAAUAAAGUGGAGAUGCAGACAGAUCACCACAAGUGGUUGUCUCCUACAGGAUCGUUAUGGCCAAGACGAGAGGUGUGAUGGCUCCUACAAAGCAAUCUCCAGAGAUGUUGGAGGGGAUCAUUGGAGGACUUUUUCCGCGUCAUGAUCCUAGUCCUUGGCCUCCUUUCGUAGGACAGCCGGGGACUGGGGCUGGCGAUGAGGAGCUUGCGGGGAUAGCUAAGUCCCUUAGCGUAUGUAAGGCCCCUGGUCCGGACGGAGUACCGGAGCUAUUGCAAAGGCUCCCGAGAUGUUCAGGUCUGCUAUGCAGAAAUGCCUGACCGAGGGAGUUUUCCCAGAAGCUUGGAAGAGGCAGAGCCUGGUACUAUUGCCAAAGGCGGGGAAACCACCCGGAGACCCGUCGGCAUAUAGACCAAUAUGCUUGAUUGACACGGCGAGGAAGGUGCUCGAAAAGAUCAUCCUCAAUAGAAUGUUGAGGUUCACCGAGGGCGAAAAUGGUCGUUCGAGCAACCAGUACGGCUUCCGGAAGGGGAGGUCCACCGUAGACGCUAUCUUGUCGCCCAGAAACCACUCGAGCCUAAGAGGAGGGGAAUUCGCUUUUGCGCGGUAGUGACUCUGGAUGUAAGGAAUGCGUUUAAUAGCGCCAGCUGGUCUGCUAUUGCCGAUGCGCUCUUGCGUCUGGGGAUACCGGAGUACCGGUACAAGAUUCUCGGAAGUUACUUUCAGAAUCGUGUACUAGUUUACGACACGGAGGUGGGUCGGAAGUGCUUUCACAUAACCUCAGGAGUCCCGCAAGGUUCCAUCCUGGGUCCGGUGUUAAGGAAUGUCAUGUACGACGAGGUGUUGAGGUUAGAGUACCCAGUGGGAGUGGUGAUUGUCGGAUUUGCCGAAGACAUUACGCUUGAAGUCUACGGUGAAACGAUCGAGGAGGUAAAAUUGACUACCAACCACUCGAUCAAGGUUGUGGAGGCGUGGAUGCGGUCCAGGAAACUGGAGCUGGCUCACCACAAGACAGAGGUGACAGUUGUUUUUAUUCUUAAUCACUUAACCUAAUUUACAGCUCUUUUGUCCACUUGGGCACUACGUGAGCGAUUCUAAUUGGACGCUGCACUUACACUUUUUGUACAGCGCCUACAUGUAUUCUAUUCUAAUUCAACUAUGUCGAACUGGUGCCUUGUGCUGCUUCAACUUUUCUACCCUGUCCAAGGUAGAAUGAUGAGCACGACGAUGCUGGUGGUUGGCUGCUGUUCCUUUUCCAGUCUAAUUGGGGGUUGUCCAUUAUGAGUUGCGGUUCGCCGAUAUCCAAAUUCCGGGUCCGUUAGAGCUAUAUGCUCCGAAGAGGGUCAGGUGCCAGCUGCUCUCGGGGGGAAGAGCAACUGACGAAAAAUUGCAAGUGCCGGGGCUGGGUUCGAACCCAUGACAAUCCGCUUAUGAAGCGAACGUGUAGACCACUGCGCCACGGGCCCCGACAUGUGACAGUUGUUAACAACCUGAAGUCGGAGCAGCAGACAGAGGUCAGUGUAGGAGAGUGCACUAUCCUGUCAAAGCGUUCCGUCAAACACUUGGGCGUGAUGAUCGACGAUAAGCUUACCUUCGGUAGCCACGUCGAUUAUGCCCGGAUGAUGUCCAAUAGCUCUGCGGUGUACGCCAGCAAGCGCAAGCUUCUGGCUAGUGUUGCUACGUCCAUACUUAGGUAUGGCGGCCCGGCAUGGGGCACCGCGCUAAGUACUGAAUGCUACCGACGGAAGCUGGAAAGUACUUACAGGCUUAUGUGCCUGAGGGUUGCGAGCGCGUAACGUACCGUGUCACACGACGCUCUCUGCGGCAUUACUGGUAUGGUGCCUAUCAGCAUUCUUAUCAGUGAGAACAUGAAGUGCUUCGAAAUGCGCGGCACAAGAGGCAUACGCAGGACUGCCAGGAUGGCCUCUAUGGUCAAAUGACACCACGCGUGGGAGAGUUCCACCAUAGGAAGGUGGACCCAUAGGUUGAUACUGAGGGUAGAUAGUUGGAUUAAUAGGCGCCAUGGGGAGGUUACUUUCCACCUGAUACAGGUCCUUACAGGUCAUGGUUGCUUCUGACAGUAUCUACACCGUUUCGGGCAUGCGGAUUCUCCCGAAUGCCCAGUGUGCAAUGGUUAAGAGGAAACGGCGGAACACGUUUUGUUCGUGUGCCCGCGUUUUCGCACAAUGCGUCAUAACAUGGUUCACCAACCCUCCAACGUGAGAGGGAAAAAUAGGAGAACGAGUGAGCAGAAGUACAAAUCGAAGCGUAUUCGACGUUCGAAACCUACAGCGUCUGGAACUGUUAGCGUCCAGACCGGAACUUCUGGACUUUAGAACUUCCGGCAUUAGUGAAACGAACAAUUCGACUCUCAUACUAUCUUCCAAAGGUUCAGAAGACAUGUUCAGAAAGCUUCGGCAGUUGUUUGUUGUAUAGUUGCCAACUCAAACCCAAAUCAAGAUACCAUGCGACCCAUGCCGAGAGAUAAAUGGUCUAGGGUGUUUAAAAGACGCUCGAUCGUCAAUUAAGCGUGUAAAUCUACGGUGAAUCGAUCGAAUAAAUGUAGUUGAUUAUUUAUUAGCCGCUCGAUCAAGGUUGUGAAGGCGUGGAAAAACCGAAAGUAGGAGCAGCAAGCGGUGAUCAGUGUAGGCGAUUCCAUUCACUACGAAGGGCUCCGUCAAACACUUGCGUGUGAUCCCGGAUGAUGUCAAAUAGCUCUGCGAUGUAUGAAAGUAAGCGAAAGCUUCUGGCUGGGUCGCUACGUCCAUACAAAGGUAUAGCGGCCCGGCGUGGGGCAUGGCGCUAAGUACCGAAAAUUACCAUGGUAUGCUAGAAAGUACUUAUAGGCUGAUGUGCCCGAGGGUUGCGAGCGCGUACUGUACCGUAUCACACAAUGCAUUCUGCGUCAUCACUGGUAUAGGCCUUCUUAUCAGGGAGGACAUAGAGUUCUACGAAUUGUGAGACACAAAAGGCAUACGCAGGACUGCCAGGAUGGCCUCCAUGGUCAAAUAGCCGCCCGCGUGGGACCGUUCCACCAAAGGAAGGUGGACCCAUAGGUUGAUCCCGAGGGUAGAUAGUUGGAUUAACAGGCGCCAUUGGGAUGUAACAUUCCACCUGACUCAGUUCCUUUCAGAUCAUGGCUGCUUCCGACAGUAACAACAUCGUUCCGGACAUGCGGGUUCUCCAGAAUGUCCGAUUUGUGCAGGUUUAGAGGAAACGACGGAACAAGUUUUGUUCGUGUGCCCACGUUUGCGCACAAUGCGUGAUCGCAUGCUUGCCACAUGCGGGGAGCACAAAACUUCGGAUAAUCUUGUCCAGAGGAUGUGUAGGUCAUACCGGUGCCCUGCGAUCGAAAUCGACCCUUACAGCGAUUACGUGGCCGCAGAGAGAACAUCCUGGUAGCAUAGCUGUCGUGGCAUCGGUCUACUGCAGGGGUUCCCAACAUGUUUGAAGUGGCGACCCCCUUUAAGAACAGUCAAAACAUCUGGGGCCCAAUGAAAUUUUUAAGGUAAAAAUAUGAAUCAGAUGAACGAAUCCGAAUUUUUUGGGUACAGUGACGUAGCCAGAAAUUUACUGUGGGAGGGAUUUUCAAUACGUUUCAGGAUCAAUGAUACGUUUUUUUUAUUUGACACUAACACGGGUUGGGAACCCGUGAUCUACUGGGUUGGAUCCGAGCUCGCGAUAGGAAAGAGGUCUCCGGAAAGGGUCGAAGCAGGAGGAUGCCCUAUUGUGAGCAACUUUAUGGUGCAGCUGAUAGGGCCUGAAGGGUAGUGAUGCCCUUGUCUUCAGCAGGUCAGAUCGUGUUGCGCGUAGGCAUCAAUUUUUGAUGCUUGCAAAACAGUUGGGCGCGGACGUAGUGGCUGACCGGUGCUUUUCAACCCAAAGCGGUAGCAAUAUGCCUUCAUUAGCUAAAAUACUUCUGAAGCAAGUGGGAGCGGGAGCAAUAAAAAAUAUAAGUGAGAGUGAAGAACGACGAUUCAGCGCCGUGCGGCUCUCUGAAUCUCUCUCUUCGCCGGUGUAUACGGCAAUGAAUAUACUUGAUUUUUAUCUCGUUAUUACAGUGCCUCAGCCUCACCGUAGCAAGCGAGAAAUAAUCGUUGCCAGUCAGUAUACUUCACCAGGCAACCGACCGAUGAGGAAUAGUGAUCGCGGUUGGUUCGGUUUCUCUUUGCUCGCUGUGCGUGUUCGUUCGUAGUGAUGGUUGGCGCUGAUGACUGAUCGUAUCAUUCAUAUUCACUCAAAUUCAAGCACUGCCACUCGGGAAACUGACAAAGCGCCAGCAUGCUAUCUUGGUGGACUCUCCAAAGCGAGUCAUCGUUGUUCGUUGGUAGAAGCUGUCACAAAAGCAUGAAAAUCAACCAUCGGGAGAGAAAACUUUGACACUCGCAAUGCAAGGAGAUACGAUGCAAAGUUGGAGUCGACAUACGCAGUAUCAUACGUGCUCGCACUCGAGGUGAGCUGAACGGUGUGCUCGUUGAGCAUUCCGUAGUCGCCGGAGUCUUGUUUCAGGUGUACAGGUAUAUUUCUGUAGCUGUUAGGGAACGUCCAUGAAGCAUUUAAGGGGGAUGGGGGAGUCUUGGAUCGUAUGACGAACAAGGGAUACAGUAUGAGCAGGGGGUAGGAGGAAUAAAGAAUCGGCCGAAAUCGGAUUGAAAGAGUAGUUUCAGCAGAUGCUGAACUGUAUGAUGGCAAAGCUGACAGGGCGAUGGCCGGUGGUAAAGGUGGUUGACUUCAAUGCAUUGACCAAUGAAUGGGGAAGCCGUUUCAUGGACCGCCAGAAGCACUGACCAUGCUCUAUGUCGAUUCGACUAUAACGUCGAUACAAAAAGGUACCUUUAACUGGAACGGACCGGAGUCGGUCAUCGACGUUACAUUCUGUAGUCUUGGCCUAACAAGUAGUUCGAUCUGGAGGGCAAACGGUCACAGCGAUCACCUGGCGGUUCGCUGCUGUAUCGAUUACAGCAACAGUAGGCAGCAGGCGGAAAAAGGUGACACGGAAGCUAUCGGGGUUGUGACAGUCGAUUAUUAACUGAUCUGGCCAAUAUGUUUCUUUCGUGCAGAGCGUCGGCAGAACAUUUGGAACGGUGACAGAUCUGUGUACACUUCAAAAACGCAAAGCUAUAUAUGUCUGACUGGAAUGCAUACAGAAAAUACAAUGUAGGCUGGUAGGCGGAACUGAACGAAGCUAGAUAAGACUUCGCACCCUCAAUUCCACCCUGUCCCAUUAACACCUAAGGAAAAUGCGGGAAUCUUCGUUUGUUUUAUUUUCCUCCAUCCCAGUGCUCCCCGUCAGCUCUCGUCCUCUACAUGCGGUUGAUCCGUCGUCGUCGUCGCAGUACACGGGGGGUGACGCACGCUUGGGGAUGGGGGAGAUAAAUCCCGAUCCGAAUCGGUAGCUUCUCCGGAGGGAGCUACCGGCGAGACACUGAGAGCGUAUACGUGGAAGGAGAUGCAACGGUCGACAAUGUGCCGAUGGCAAAAGGUAAAGGUUGCAAGAUGGCAUUGAAUUGGAACGUUGAAUGAUUGGUAAUCUAACGACGCUAUAAUGGGCUAAUUAAA